UGGAGCCUUUAAUUAACCUGAUCAGUGAACAAACCACAAACCCUACAAAUCCCACAAUCCCCACAAUCCCCGUCCCUCGCCGCGCCUGCGCAAAGGAGCGUAGGGAGCUGUCCGUGUCAGUCGAUGCUGGAGUGAUUUCGGUGAAGCGGCUUCUCCUUUCGGUCCACCGAAACAGACAGGAGCGAUGGAGGAAGAGUUAAAAUGUCCCGUUUGCGGUUCUCUCUUCAAGGACCCCAUCCUUUUGCCGUGCUCCCACAAUGUCUGCCUGAGCUGUGCUCGGAACAUCACCGUUGAGACCCCGGAGGGAGAGACCCCGGCGCAGAGCCGAGCUUCGGCCAGCUCUGACUACGACUACCUGGACAUGGACAAGAUGAGUCUGUACAGCGAGACGGACAGCGGCUACGGGUCCUACACACCGUGCCAGCUCAAGUCUCCCAACGGGGUGCGAGUAUUUCCGCCGGCCAUCCCCCACCGACAUUGCUCCCUCACCUGCCCGCUGUGCCACCGGAGCGUCUCCCUUGAUGAGCGGGGGCUCCGGGGUUUCCCACGGAACCGGCUGCUGGAGGCCAUCGUGGCGCGGUAUCAGCAGAACCGCGCCGCCUCGGCUCCCUCUUCUUCUUCGUCUACCGCGGUGAAGUGCCAGCUGUGCGACCGCAACCCCGUGGACGCGUCGGUGACGUGGCGGAAACCGGCAACCUGCGUGGUUCACGAAGCGGAAAACUUCAGCAUGUACUGCUGCAGCUGCAGGGCUCCGGUGUGUAUGAAGUGUCUGGAGGAGGGUAAACACGCCAAGCACGACAUCAAACCGCUGGCUGUCAUGUGGAAGCAACACAAGUGCCAGCUCUCCCAGGCCCUGAACGGAGUCUCCGACAAAGCUAAAGAUGCCAAGGACUUCCUGGUUCAACUGAAAAACAUGCUUCAGCAGAUACAGGAGAACGGCGUGGAGUUUGAGGCUUGCCUUGUGGCGCAGUGUGACUCUCUGAUUGAGGCACUGACCAGACAGAAAGCGAAACUGCUCACCAAAGUCACCAAGGAGAAAGAGUACAAACUGAAGGUGGUGCGAGACCAAAUCACCCACUGCACCAUGAAGCUACGUCAGACCACCGGCAUGAUGGAGUUCUGUCUGGAGGUCCUCAAAGAGAAUGAUCCCAGUGGAUUCCUACAGAUCUCAGAAGCCCUCAUCAAGCGGGUGAUGUCGUCUCAGGACCAGUGGGUGAGAGGCACCCAGGAGCCAAAGGUCGGCCCUGAGUUUGACCUCACCCUCAACACCGACGCGCUGAUGCAGACCAUCCUUCAGCUGGACUUCUGCCAGGGCAAAGAUGUGGAGGAGAGUCCGUUAUUGAAACAAAUCCAGGCAGCAGACAGUGCUGAAGCUAAGAUGGAGACAGAGAGCCUAGGAGUGGAGUCGGGACCCUUGGUGCCAGCAGCUCCUCUCCUGCAGCUGGAGAAGUGCUGCACCCGAGACAACAGCGCCACCCUGGCCUGGAGGGUAACUGCACCCCCCAGCAACCCCAUUGAGGGCUACGUCCUGGAGCUGGAUGACGGCAACGGAGGACAGUACAGGGAGGUAUAUGUAGGGAAGGAGACGGUGUGCACGGUGGAUGGCCUCCAUUUUAACAGCUCCUACAAUGCCAGGGUGAAAGCCUACAAUACCAUUGGUGUGGGUCCAUACAGCAAGACUGUCAUGCUCAAGACCUCUGAUGUGGCCUGGUUCACCUUUGACCCCAGUUCAGCUCAUCAGGACAUUGCUUUGUCCAAUGAAAACCAGACAGUCACCUGUAACAGCUACGAUGACCGUGUGGUGCUGGGAACUGCUGCUUUCUCUAAGGGCAUCCACUACUGGGAGGUCAGCAUUGAUCGUUAUGACAACCACCCAGACCCUGCUUUUGGCGUGGCAAGGAUCAACACCAUGAAAGACAUGAUGCUGGGGAAAGAUGACAAGGCCUGGGCCAUGUAUGUGGACAACAACCGCUCCUGGUUCAUGCACAACAACUCCCACACCAACAGGGCAGAAGGAGGCAUCACUAAGGGUUCGACUGUGGGCGUCCUGCUGGAUCUGAACAAACAUACUCUGACUUUUUACAUCAACAAGAAGCAGCAUGGGCCGACUGCCUUUGAGAAUCUGGAUGGUGUCUUCGUGCCCGCUGUCAGCCUGAAUAGAAAUGUACAGGUGACCUUACUCACAGGUCUGGAGGUGCCAAAGAAUAUCAAACAGUAGGAGCUCCUUCCUUGCUCUGAACAUGCUCUGGAUUCAUAUGCAGCCUCAGUCCACUCCCACAUGGACCUUUUCCAAGAUGGGAUGUACCCUCUCCCAUCCUCCUCAAGGUGCCCUUUGUCUUGGAUGCUCUUCUGUGCAACCUGAUUAUUUGGGAUGAAGGAACAAAUCUGAGUUAUUAUUAGCUUUGAAUUCAAUGAUUAACAUUUGUGGGUGUCACUACAGAGAUAACUGGAGUUACUGUGAAUUGCCAUACUUGUUUUCAUAUCCUGUUUUUUGCACUGUGAGCUUGAGGAUUUAAACAUUUUCUUUAUUUCAUUUCAUUAUUCCAUCUUGUGCCAUUCAUCCAGUCAUUUUAACAAGAAGGCUAACAUUUCUCCUCAGAGCCUGAGACCAAACUAACCGACCCUCUCAGUCCAACAUGAGUGACGUUAAUGCUGCGGUGGCAGCUCGCCCCCUGCUGUUCAAUGAUGGCAACAACAUGGUUCAUGAAUUUAUAAACUAAUCCUGUUCUUGCAUAUUAGCCAACUGUUUUCGUACCUUUAAUCACUGACUUUUUUUUAAGGUCAGCAAACAUUUUGUCUGACAGGAUGCCAUCUCUUUUUAUGAAUUUUAGCAUGAUAUUCAAGCCUUUAAUCAGGGACAUUAAAAUAGCACCCAUUUGCGAUUCAGUUUCUUGAGCUACAGUACAACAGUAAGCUACUAUGUCUUACUGGAGUUAUGGAGGUCCAUUUUGAACACAACACCUACAGUAUUUUAAAAUAAUUUUGUUAUGAGUAGAGCAGUAAAAUUAGAGUAGUAAACUAGGGAAAUAUCUUUAAUUUUUGGAUUUCUUUAUACCAAUUCCAGUGUAUUCUGUUUAACAAAUUAAGAAAUUGAAUUCUUUAUUUAUGAAGCAAAGCUGUUACCUAAAAUGUUUAAUCCAUGACAUUUACACCCUAAAUGAGCAAACAGCAGAUGUAUUAUACUACCAUGAAUAUAUGUAUCAAGUCCUAACUGGCUUACCUGUUUUUUGCACCUGGUGCUGCAUUCAAAUUCAGUGGGAAAGACAAAUUUAAAGCAGCCAUAUUCAUUUUUAGUACCUGUCCAGCUCCAAUCAACCAGCCGGUGAACCCAGUGGACUUAACAAGACUCCAGAUAAAUGCUAAUGUUACAUGAUCUAUAAAUGACAACUGUUUACUGUCAAAUUUGCCACAUUUAUUUUAAAGAUGUCAGUGUUGUGUUCAUAGCUUUGCUUUGCUGUCCCAGAAAUGGCAAAAAAAAAACAGGAUACCACAGCUUUCCUUGCAUUGCUUAUCAAUCAAGGCAAUAAAAAAAAACUUUCAACUGACAUGCAGCUUCCAACAACAAGCCCACAUUUGCCACUUUUCUCAUUUGACUUGAAAUCAGCAUUAGUGUAAAAGUCGGGUUUCUCUAGAUCCAGAAACCAAACCUCUAUCUACCAAAGGGGAUAUUUUUUCCUGAUGUGCCCCAGACUGCCAGCUACCACCUAAGGGCUACAUUCAUGACACAUGAGGCUUUCUGUCUGACCCACCUCCUUUACCAGAGGAGAGGCCUGCCACAAGGUUGAAUUUGCUGUACCCAGGAAUAGAUGUCAGGUCCACAAGCAAAAUGAGACAUCUAUCAUGUGACCAGGGGAACCAUUUUUUUCUUCUUAAAGUCUGGAUGACUUGAGGUUACAUGUCUGUAGGCUGUGUUGAUGAGGACCUGUUGACUGGAGGGAAUAAAAGCAAACACUAUGGUGCUCAGAUUCAUAGUUGCAUACAUUUAGGAACCCUUUUUCUUUCUAAAAAACAGCUUUAAGUGGUAGACAAAACUCACAGACUUAAGAUAACUCACAUUGUAGUCACUCCUGUCUAGAUGUAGUGUUGUAUGGCAUGUCUGUUUAUGGCCCAGUUACCCACCCAUGAAUGUGACAUUUUAUUUAGUGAUUUAACUUCAAGCUAUGGUGCUGGGAUGAAAGCAUGUCACUGCUGUGAGAUAUUUAACCUAUAAAACAGCAGAGGAAAAAAUCUUAAAUGACAAACCCUAUAAAGCCUGUAAAUAUAUUCAUAUAUUUAUUUUCUUUUAUAUAUUGCCCUCUUCAGUUUAUUCAGUGUUUCAGUUGAAUGAGUGUGGAUUAUAAAAAGGCUUGCCGAAUACAAAACCUUGUGUGCUUACAGCUUGAAACGUGAUGUGAUGCAGAUAGGUUUCCUGAUGUUCUUUUUUAAAAGCUGCUUCAAGGAAACCGUGUGAGACUUUGUGAGCUCAGCCAGCCGCAGACUGCCAGAUCACAGGUCUCGUGUCAUCACCAUCCAUCAACAAUGCUACACCCAUUAACAAACUGGAAAGAACUGGUUUCUGGAAAUGUUUACAUUCAGAACUUCGUAAGAUUUCAAAGAAGUCAUGUAAACGUGGGUUCAUAAGGGAGAAGCAUUGCACUUGCAAGACCAUCCUGCUUUCUCAUGGUUCCCAGUGUUCAUAUGCAUUUGUCUUUACGAAAACUUCUGCCAGGACUUGUGUGUUUAUUGCUUUCUUGAAAAUACGUACCCCCACUGGUCUUGUUAUAAUCCUGCCCCUUCUGCCAAUGUAAAUGUUUUGUACGACUACAUGGUUUGUACAUGAGAAAUGCAUUGUAACUGCAUAUUUUACAGCCUUUACAGUGCAAAUCAAAAGAGCACAAAUGUCUUUUUUUGGGUUAUUUAUAACAACAAAAUAAAUUAAC